rnacentral:rRNA from 2 species
GUGCGAGACCGAUAGCGAACAAGUACCGUGAGGGAAAGAUGAAAAGAACUUUGAAAAGAGAGUUAAAGAGUACCUGAAACUGCUGAAAGGGAAGCGAAUCGUAUCCAGUGUCUAUAAUCUGCGGCAUAUUUCAUUGGCGGCGGUGCGCGUGCUUUUGCGUCGGAAGCGGCUUUUGUUGCUCUGUGCUUUUGCUGUGCGUGUUGUUGCUGGUGCCCUGUGUUGCGGUGGGACGUCAGAGUCAGUUUGUAUGCUGCGGGAAAUGGCUGCCGAGGAGGUAGGUCGAGAUUUCGGUCUUGGCUGUUAUAUCUUGGUGGUUUGUUGUCGUGGUUGAGACUGAGGUGCCUACAAUGUGCUUUUGAGUGUACCGGGUUCUCAUUUGGUGGACUGUUUGGAUAGCUUGCUAUGCUUGUGGUUUUUUCAUCGGGUGAUUGAAUCUGGUGGUAACUUGUUGCUGUUCGGGACUUUG